CCCUUAACAUCUGACCCAGACCCGCCCCAAUUUCCCUUUUAAAUCACAGCUCUUUAUUCCAUUUGAUCUAACGGCUAUUAUCCCUUCCCACACCCCAAAUAUAAACCAAACUAUAACCUAAUAAGCUAACCCUAGAGACAACUCCCCAGCCGCACCCCUUUCUUUACCAAACGCCUUUGCCGCCAUCGACCCGCCACAACUCCAUGCCAAACUCGUGCACAUGAUCCCUCCUCUCUCCCUUUGCCACGUAUCCUAACGACUUGUGACAAACGAAAUUAUUCUUUCGGGAUUUCACGCAUGCUCUCUUAUUUUUUUCUUUCAGAUUUAUGCUUUUUUGGCGAAAAUAGGAAAAAAUGUGGGGUAUAGGAUCGAGUCACACUCGAUCUACUCCUUACAUCUGUCUUAUCUCGCCAAUUCGAGUUUUUUUCUGGAUUUUUCGGGUGAUUUUCGGAUUCUUUGGCAUCCGAGGAAAGAAGGUUCGAGAGGCUAUAAAUUGGAGGAUUUUUCUGAGAAUUUUGGAUAGAAGUUUCUAGGACGGAGAUUGAGACAAAAAUUAGGGUUUGAGAAAUUAGCAAUAUUCUUCUCUAAUUUUUCUGUUUCUUUGAACAAUCAUCAAAAUACAAACGGAAAAAAAAUCAAUUUAGCCCUUUUCAAUUUCGGAUUUUAUUUUUCAGAUUUUUUAGGAUGGUUUAAGUAUCAAAAAAUACGUUUUUUUUUCUGCUCUUUCAAUUUUCGGAUUUUUGGGGGUUUCGAAGAUGGAGUUCUAUUGAGUCGAAGUGGUUUCAGUGCUGAGAUCAAUUCGAGUUUUGUUCGAGGUUCGUUUGAAGUUUCGGGCUGUGGUUUUUAGAGUGAUUUAGUUGCUGUUUUAACUGGAUUUCAGUCUCCGUUUGUAGCUGAUUUUAUUCACUUUGCUAUUAAAGAAAAUUGCCGAACAGGUUCGUUUGUUCUCUUCCUUAUUCCCUUAGUGUUAUAAUGGUGAACUGAAGUUUCGGAAGAGCCAUUUAGAGUAGUGAAUGGUUUGUUUGAAUUAAUAUAGAGUUGUGAAAGUUCUAAGAUUUAUUUUUGGAUUUUUCCUUCCCACUGUGUUCUAGAUGCUAUUUUAUUAAUGUUCUUAUGGAAAAAAUCUAUUGUAGUUUAAUCCUCUUGAGAUAGGUUUAAGGGAUUUAUUGUCAUGUUCUUUCAUUCUCUAUGCUGAAAUUGACACUUGGUUGAUUUUUCUGCUCUUAGAAGUACCAGAACAGAACCUAAAAAUAUGAAGUUAUUUUUAAUAAAAAUAUUUUUGAUCUAUGAUGUCAACCGUCAGAAUAUCAGGAACUAGUUUAUCGACUCGUCAUUUGGGAUGAUUCAGUUUCUGUGCUUUGGAGUUUGGCGUGAACAAUUAUUUGUCUUAGUUUGCCUACAUAAAGUUUAAAGUAUGAUUGUUUUAUCUGGUUGUGAUUAUGCGAUAGUUUACAGUUAGAUUAAUAGCUUUUUUAUUGUUUGAAAUGAUAAUGUAGUAUCCAUAUUUUAUAAUUAUGGUUGGCAAAUUAUUAUUAUUUUUUUUUCAAGUACAAUGGGUUUUUUUUGCAUGUGAUUAAGGGCAUGAACCCAUCUCAGAAUAUUUAUAACUUUAGAUUGCACCUUAGUAAUGUUAAAUUUCAAUUUUGACGGACUUAUAGCUCUUGUCAUGUUUUGUAUUCAUUUUUCUUUGUUUUAUUUCUUUACUGUCUGUUUUUUUGUUCGCCUGGUUGAUUUGUUUGUUUGGGUAUUUACUUGUUUGGGGUACUGCAUCUGUUGAACACGAUUACACCUCGAAUGCUUGAAUUGGGACAUGGGAAUGGGGAAUGACCAAAUCCCAUCAGUAAUUAAUCGGUCUCAUAUUUUAGGACUACGUUUGGUCAAAUGCAUGAAAUAAAAGUUUAAAAGGGUAUGAACAUGAAAUCUCUUGUAGUAAAAGUACUCCAUAAUCACGGACCUUUUGACACACCAUCGCUGAAUUAUGGAUUACACAACUUAUAAACACUUGGAGUGUGCUUUAGGCGCGAUUAAUAAUAAUCAUCGUGGCUAUUGGUACGGUUCUCGUGGCAUUGUCAUGAUAUGUAAUUCCCAAUUCGAGUGUGCGUUUCACGUGACUCAACUGUGACUUCAAACAAUAAUAAAAAUUAACACGUUGUAGAUUGCGGGUGCAUUUCAUGUGGUGCAAUAUGCGAUGUGUGUAAACAACGAGUGUACGGACACGUAACCCGUCUCAGAUUAAUUCCAUAAAAGUUUAAAAUGCAGUAAUAUAAUAAAAGCGGUAAAAGGAAUAGAAAUGCACAUAGGUUUUAAAUGUGUACUAAAUCAGAUAAUUAGGCCAAUUAUUAACAAUUGAGCGACAAUGCUAAACCCACAAAACUCGGAAGUGACUUACACCUUCUCCCGUAUUAAAAGAAUUUCUUACCCGGUCUUCUAUGUUCGCAGAUCAUAAAUAAGAGUCAAUUUUCUCAAUUUGGGAUUUAAAACAAACAUGUGACUUGGGACACCAUAAAUUAUCCCAAGUGGCGACUCUGAACUAAAUAAGUAAUUUAUUUCGAUUAACGUUACUUUAAUUAAAAAAACUCCCUAUCCCCUCGAAAAAAAGAGGUGUGACAGCUCUGGUGACUUUGCUGCGGAUAAGAAUCCAGAAUCUCUGGUUCAGGGUUCAGAAUUUGAUCUUAGAAUAACUGUUAUACUUGGCUCUUAUUUAUUAUGUAAUUUUUAUGUGUUUGAGCCUAAUGUGCAAAAUGCCGCUUUUUAUCGCUUUGAUAUUGAUUGAAUUGUAUAUAAACUGUUACGAAACCCUCUUCUCUCUAAGUCUUCUAAAUCUUUUGGGAAGCGUGCGAUUUACGUGGCUUCUUUUCUGUUAGAGUCAUACUCUAAUUUUAGAACGAGAUUCGAACAAGUUGCAAUACCGGUGAAGUUUCUGUAUUCCCGGUACGCUGCCUCCCUUGGCUCGAGUGGUCCGCUUGGGUAAGCCAGGUCUAGAAUAAUGCACCCAGGUUUUAAACUUAGAAUGACAUAGCCUCAUGCCAGAUCCCUAGUAGGUACAUUUGUUUGUAUCACGUGCAUUUGACUUUGGUGACUCAACAUAGGGGUUAGGUCCAUCUAGGAUAGGUGCACCCAAUUUAAAAGAUCAUCCUGAUGAAUUUUACGUGCAACUUGUGCAUUUAAUUUUUUCGGCUUGUAUGUUGACCGGCUUCUAGAAUAGGAAAAAGAAAAUCGAGAAAAACGAAGAGUGAGGAAGGAGGGAAAAUCACCCGGUUAUGAAAACCCUAGUAUUCAAAAUAUCUCAAAACUCUGCCAAAAUAUUUCUUGAAAAAAAAGGAAAGUCAUUUCAAAAUAAGUUAUAUUUCCUGUUGCGUCAAAACUACAAAACUACGCGAGUUUGAUUCUCACCGGAUGUGAGAUACAUGUACAACCCUCAUCGGGUCUAGCCCGCUUUUGCAAAAAAUAACCAAAAAUACGAAAUGACGUCAUUUUGUCAUAAAUAAAGUUAGGCGAUGUCGUUUUGUCCAAAUAGCCAGAAAUAUCCCGACGGGAUGCCGGAAAGCCAUUUUGCAAGAAUAGCCACCGAUGGUCCUUUUUUAAAUUUUUGGCCAUUUAGCAAAUAUAACCCUAAAAGCUUCUCUGCCGAAGUGUUGAAGGGCCGUAUUUGCGAAAAUAGUCGGGAUUUGUCUUAAGUUGGAUUUUGCAAAAAUAACUUUUCUUUCUUUUUGGUCAGUUUUCAAACAAAACUCACAUGUUUUAUCCAGUCAUCCUAAUUUAAAAAUGUGCAGGAUGAGCACUGAUAACUAUGGAUUUUAACCUAUUAUGUGCUCUCUUUUGCUUAGGUUUUGGGUCGAAAAUGCGUAAAGGUAUUCCUGAAAACUGACUUAAUGUGUUUGCUUGCAGGGUUUGGUCAAAAUGAGGCAAAGAAGUCAUAAUUAACUCAUGAAGGAGUUAAACUUGCACAAAUCCAAAGCUGGGACUGGAGCGCUAACAGCGGCAGAAAAGAGCGGCCGCGUAAGGACCACCGUUGAGGCGGCCACAAGUAUGCGGCCCGCAAAAGUGAGAUUUAGAGAAGCUGUUUUGGGCACAAGAUUGAAGGCUGACCGCGAUGGAAAAGCGCGGAUGUGGAAUAUCUGGCGCGGUCAUGAUGGUAUUUUCGCUGAGAGCGUACUCCAAGGUUCAGAGACCCUGCAAGUUAAGUUUGACUGAAGAACAUCGUCCCUGUCUAAAUUACGUGGUGCGGCUUAAGCUAACGCGGACGCGGACGCGGACGCGGUGGAUUUUACGCUGCCUGCAAAAUAGGUCCCAUUCCAGAUUCAAAUAUGGAGAAACGCGGACCACGUUCAUUAUUACGCGCUUUGAUAGCUCAAGCGCGGACGCGGUCAGAAUUACACCUCCGCGAAAUCUCCGCAGGGGCAUUUUGUCCGAAAAUUUUAGCCUAGUAUAAAUAGAUAUUUUUCACAUUUUUAGGUUGAGUUAUGUUUUGCUGAACACGUGAGACGACUAGUUUUACCUAUUUGGGCAAUUUUGUACAUGAUUUACCUUAUAACUUUAGUUUUUCAUCUUUUAAUAUAACAUUAUGGAUUUUAUCUUCUCUUUAUCUUUGAUUUCUUCUAGUUUCAUGAGUAGCUAAAUCCAUAGCUAGGGUUGUGACCCAACCCUAGUGUGGAUAUUUAAUGGGUCAUGAAUUUU
rnacentral:lncRNA from 1 species